AGACGUAGGGGGCGAGCGUUGUCCGGAAUUACUGGGCGUAAAGGGCGUGUAGGCGGCCUAGCAAGUCAGUUGUGAAAUCCCAGGGCUUAACCCUGGGCUAGCAACUGAAACUGUUAAGCUUAAGUGCAUCAGAGGAGAGCGGAAUUCCUAGUGUAGCGGUGACAUGCGUAGAUAUUAGGAGGAACACCCGUGGCGAAGGCGGCUCUCUGGGGUGCAACUGACGCUGAGGCGCGAAAGCUGGGGGAGCGAACGGGAUUAGAUACCCCGGUAGUCCCAGCCGUAAACGAUGGUCACUAGGUGUAGGAGGUAUCGACCCCUUCUGUGCCGCAGCAAACGCAUUAAGUGACCCGCCUGGGGAGUACGGUCGCAAGACUGAA
rnacentral:rRNA from 1 species